rnacentral:tRNA from 1 species
UCUUCCGUAGUAUAGUGGUCAGUAUAUGAGCUUGUCAACUUCACAGAAGACUCCGCUCGGGACCCGGGUUCAAUUCCCGGCGGGAGAG